GACUCUGGGGACUGUCUUAGCUAUCUUUCGUUUCAUCCUUCAAAUUCUGUUGUUUUUCUUUUCAAUGGGGAUUUAUUUCUUUAUGGAAUUCAAGAGGAUUUACAUGUCUAACAAGGACUAAUAUAUCUGAAGGGAACUGAACACCUAGGUGUCUGACAGAUUACAACUAUAGGCAAAAAAUACCAUUGACAUUGAAAAGCUCACCACCUAUAUUGUCUGGUGGCAUAGUUAUUCUCUGGCCUGCAUUAUGGAGGCCAAAGCAACAUUAGCCUAAACUAUACUCACCAAGUAUAGUGAAAUUAAGCCAGGGCUCUUAUCAAACCAAGCCAGAAGUUUUCCUCACUCUUUUAUAUUUCUUUCUAAUUUUGCUGAGCUACCUAGAAAUUUAUUUUAAGAGGUUGUUUCUUCGUGGGCUCAUGAACAUUACUUUUCAGACAACUUUAUAAAAGCUGUCUGAAUUCAACAAAUAUUAGAUAAUUAUUCUUUGAAUAUCAAUUACAGACCCAUCACUAUGUCAAGCCAAUAAGAUUCCAAGGGUUUCUUUCACAUGUACCAAUGUGCCUGGCUUCUGAUAAAUUUAUUCUAGAUUUCCUUUAAUUUACAGUCUUCUCCUAGUGAAAGCCUGUCAGCUUAAUUUAUUUUUUGCUCGGUGAAAGUGAUUUACCCCACUGAAGGACAGUUGCUUUAACUGAGAACUUUCAUGCUUGAGUAGAGGAAACAACAAACUAUAGGUUCCAUUUUAAAGUAGUUGCACUAUUUUGCACUCCCAUCAGCAAUCAAGUGUGGAUGAUGUGAUGUUGGAGAAGCGGGCUAGGAAUCAGAUACUUCAAGCCUGGGGCUUCUGCUUUCUGCUGAGAUAGAUAACAAGGUCAUUAGUGAAUAGAGAACAGUGGGUGUGGAAUUCGUGUCUUGAGGGCAGCAGGAAGUGUUGGGAAUGCUGAAGAAGGAGCAGAGCAACAAGAGAAAUCAUGCCAGUUUCUUGCCACAGAAUGAGAUUCAAGAUGAUGGAAACACCUCUCAAAUAUUCCAUGACCCUAAAUCAAAGGUUAGCUCUGAAAAGAUGAUCUUCCUCAUGAAAGCUAGACAUCUAAGAAGCCAAAUCUUCUUGAUCAGGCUGACCACCUCAAAGGUUCCCAAUUAACAGAAUCCUGCAGUCCUCUACUUCACUUUAGCCAUUCAGAUGGAACUUAAAGAAAGACUCUUGGAAGUAUAAUUGCAGAAAAUAAAAAUAAAACUGAGGACCUAAAAUUAUAGGCAAAUUAGAAAAUUGUGAAUUUUAAUAAUGUGAGGCAUUCUUUACAGGGAAGAAGGCUUUCAGCAAAAGAAGAGCGCUAGCACCUAUGCAGAGUGGAGUUGCUGCUCAGGGCAGCUGGCUACAGUCCUCUGCUGUAGACACUUGCUCCUGAUUACAUGAGAGCACACAUAUCACAAUGCAGCUUGACUGUCUACCAGGAAGUAGAACAUUCCACCUAUUCUAUGCGUGAGGCAGGCUUGAUUCUCACAAGGGCACUUGCUCUAAGACCAUCAGUCACAUCCCUAAGUCUGUUGUAAUGGCCCCACUUUAACCCUGAACCCGCCAAGACCCCUGAGGAGACUGAUUAUGCAGCUCAGUCCAGAACACAUGCAACAUAUUGUGCCCCCCAAAGCCACAAAACCAUCAGGAAUUA